AUUGAACGCUGGCGGCAUGCCUUACACAUGCAAGUCGAACGGUAGCGGGCCUUCGGGUGCCGACGAGUGGCGAACGGGUGAGUAAUAUAUCGGAACGUACCUUUCAGUGGGGGAUAACGUAGCGAAAGUUACGCUAAUACCGCAUAUUCUGUGCGCAGGAAAGCAGGGGACCUUCGGGCCUUGCGCUGAUUGAGCGGCCGAUAUCAGAUUAGCUAGUUGGUGAGGUAAAGGCGCACCAAGGCGACGAUCUGUAGCGGGGCUGAGAGGAUGAUCCGCCACACUGGAACUGAGACACGGUCCAGACUCCUACGGGAGGCAGCAGUGGGGAAUUUUGGACAAUGGGGGCAACCCUGAUCCAGCCAUGCCGCGUGAGCGAAGAAGGCCUUCGGGUUGUAAAGCUCUUUCGGCCGGGAAGAAAUCGUAUGGGCUAAUACCCUGUGCGGAUGACGGUACCGGCAUAAGAAGCACCGGCUAACUACGUGCCAGCAGCCGCAGUAACAC
rnacentral:rRNA from 1 species